UUUUUUCCGAGCAAAAAAAUCACUAUUUUUUUUUUAAUUGGAUCAUUGAAUGUUUCAAAUGUAAAGUCAAUACAAUUUAAAUAUCACUUUCAGUUUCAGUAUGAAGAAAAAGGGGUAUUUCUCUCUCUUCUUUUUUUUAAAAAACUGUGGCCUAUCCCCAAUCUAUAAAGAGAUUAAAAAAUUAUGACAUUUGGAAAUCAAAAAGGAAAAAUGAAAUGUUCUAAGAUAAAGAAUAAAGGUAAAUCUAAUAAUAGAACAUCGGUAUUCUAAAUGGCAGGAAUCCAGUUACCCAUGUUGCUAAUCUCUAAGCCUCCAGCAGCGAAAACCCAGAUGAUCUGUAUGAUGUAAACUCAGUUCCAGCCAGGUAGGAAGAACCAACAAAAGAAGCAGGAAACGGAUAUCAAAUGCGAAAAAUAAUUCUUUGAAAUUGAUUUUUAUUUGUGAUUCUGACAAUUGACUUAUCUCCUCUAUGGUCCAAUAAGUCCUGCCAAAAGAAUUCCUUCCAA
rnacentral:misc_RNA from 1 species